GGCUCAGGGGCUGUGAGCACCAUGGCCUGGACUCCUCUCCUCCUCGUGCUCCUCUCUCACUGCACAGGUUCCCUCUCCCAGCCUGGGGUGACUCAGCCGCCCUCCCUCUCUGCAUCUCCUGGAGCCUCAGCCAGACUCACCUGCACCCUCAGCAGUGACAUCAGUGUUAGCAACUAUAGGAUAUACUGGUACCAGCAGAAGCCAGGCAGCCCUCCCCAGUAUCUGCUGAGAUAUAAAUCAGACUCAGACAAGCACCAGGGCUCUGGGGUCCCCAGCCGCUUCUCUGGAUCCAAAGACACCUCUGCCAAUGCAGGGCUCCUGCUCAUCUCUGGGCUGCAGCCUGAGGACGAGGCCGACUAUUACUGUAUGAUCUGGCUCAGUAGUGCUCCUCACAGUGACUCACACAGAAGGGGAAGUGGAACAAAAACCUCAGCCUAACAGAGUUUUCUUCA